ACUCUAUCCACUCUUCUUCUCCCUCUCAAAAUCGGAGGCCCUCCUCUCUUCCUCCCUCUUCUCUUCUCCCUUCCCUCUCCCUUUUUUCCUAUCCAGCCGCCUCUUCUCUUCUCCCUUCCCCUUCCCUUUCUCCCUUCUCUCACUGCAUUUUUCCUCUCCAGCCGUCUCUUCUAUUCUCCCUUCCCCCUCCCUUUCUCAAUUCUCUCCCUUCAUCCUCUCCUCUCUCCUCUCUACAACCGCCCCCUCUUCUUCUCCAGUGGAGGAGUAGCAGCGCAAGAACGCCGCCUCUACUCCCUUUUCUAGUGGACCGCAGCUGCGAGGAGAGCAAUAGCAGCCGGACAGCGAGCCUCCAUCACUAGCAGCAGCUCCAGCUGGCGACAAGAGUUCGACGACAUAGCGGCAACAACUUGGGUGAGUGACCAAGCAGUGUCGCCCUCUCCCUCGCCUUCUCUCUCGAUCGAGUAUGAAUGAUACCAACGGCAUUCUAGAAAAAUCUAUUAGCAACGAACUCUAGCAAGGCAGUUAGCCGGGCAACAAUUGCGGAACUCCGCACUCAUCAUCCACAAGAUUGGAACUACAUUUGACCUGAUUUCUACUUCGACAGGAUAUGUAAGCACCACGACGGCUCGAUCAUAUACCUAGUGUGAUUAUUACUUCUCCUUACAAUAAAAACUAGGACAAAAUUUUUGAAAAUAUUUCAAAAAUUCACAAUAGAGAUAGCCAACAAGUUAAUAUUGAAGAUCAUUUUGAGAUUUGCCAAAAUUCUAACUGGGACAAAAUUUUGAGAAAGUGCUGCGAAAAGCUUGAUAGAAAA